CACGGGGGGAGCAAGCGUUGUUCGGAAUCACUGGGCGUAAAGGGCGUGUAGGCGGUUCGGUAAGUGGAAUGUGAAAUGCUCCGGCUCACCCGGAGUACUGCAUCCCAAACUGCCGAGCUUGAGUAUGGGAGAGGAUGAGGGAAUUCCUGGUGUAGCGGUGAAAUGCGUAGAUAUCAGGAGGAACACCGGUGGCGAAGGCGGCUUGCUGGGCCAGUUCUGACGCUGAGGAGCGAAAGCGUGGGGAGCGAACAGG
rnacentral:rRNA from 1 species